AGAGUUUGAUCCUGGCUCAGGAUGAACGCUAGCGGCAGCCUAACACAUGCAAGUCGAGGGGCAGCAUUUACUAGUUUACUAGUAAGAAUGGCGACCGGCGCACGGUGCGUAACGCGUAAUAGCACUACCUUACUGGGGGAUAGCCCGAGAAAUUCGGAUUAAGCCCCAUAGUACUUGACACCAAGGCAUUUUGGAUAAGUUAAAAGGUUUACGGUAAGAGAUGGGAUGCGUCCCAUUAGCUUUAGAUUGGUAGGUAAGGGUUACCAUGGCAACGAAUGGGUAGGGGGCUGAUGAGGUGGCUCCCCACACUGGGUAACUGAGCUCGGACCAGACUCCUACGGGAGGCAGCAAGUGAGGAAUAUUGGACAAUGGGCGCAAGCCUGAUCCAGCCAUGCCGCGUGCAGGAAGAAUGCCCUAUGGGGUUGUAAACUGCUUUUAUUUGGGAAUAAACCUCUUUUACGUGUAGGAAGAGCUGAAGGGUACAAAAGAAUAAGCACCGGCUAACCGUGCGCAGCAGCCGCCGGUAAUACGGAGGGUGCAAGGCGUUAUCCGGAAUCAUUGGGUUUAAGGGUCCGCAGGCGGGACUUAUAAGUCAGUGGUGAAAAUCUCUCGGCUUAACCGAGAAAAAACUGCCAUUGAUUAACUGUAAGUCUUGAAUUCGGUCGAAGUGGGGAAUAUGAACAUGUAGCGGUGAAAUUGCUUAGAUAUGUCAAAAUAGAACACCCGAUUAGCGAAGGCAAGCUCACUAGGCCUGGAUUGACGCUCAGGGACGAAAGGGCGUGGGGGACAAACAGGAUUAGAUACCCUGGUAGUCCACGCCGUAAACGAUGAUUACUCGAUAUUGGCGAUAUAAACAGGUCAGUGGUCUAAGCGAAAGUGAUAAAGUAAUCCACUGGGAGUACGAUCGCAAGGUUUGAAACUCAAGGAAUUGAGGGGGCCCCGCAACAAGCGGUGGAGCAUGUGGUUUAAUCGAUGAUACGGCGAGGAACCUUCCAGGGCUUAAAUGUAGAGGGAAUAUAGUGGAAACACUUAGUCUUCGGACCGUCUACAAGGUGCUGCAUGGCUGUCGUUCAAGCUCGUGCCGUGAGUGUUGGGGUUAAGUCCCGCAACGAGCGCGAACCCCUCAUCUUUUGGUUUGCCAGCGAGUAAUGUCGGGGACUCUAAAAGAAACUGCCUACGCAAGUAGGAAGGAAGGCGGGGACGACGUCAAGUCAUCACGGCCCCUUAGUCCUGGGCCACACACGUGCUACAAUGGGUGGAUACAGAGGGUAGCUUCCGCGAGGAGGAUGCCAAUCUCGAAAGUCCAUCUCAGUUUCGGAUCGGAGUCUGCAACUCGACUCCGUGAAGCUGGAAUCGGCUAGUAAUGCGGGCAUCAGCCAUGGCGCGGUGAAAAUACGUUGGGCCUUGUACACACGGCCCCGUCAAACAAUGGGAAGCUGGGGGUGCCUGGAAGUCGGUAACCCAGCAAGGAGCUGCCUAGGGUAAAACUGGUCACUGCGUGGAUAUAGUCGUAACAAGGUUAGCCGUACCGGAAGGUGCGGCUG
rnacentral:rRNA from 1 species